rnacentral:lncRNA from 1 species
GCUGCAUGGUGACCGCGUCAACAUGGGCUCUAUGUGGGAAGCCCACGCUGGCAAUCUGGGUGUCAGGACGACUGGACGGCUCAAGGCCACUCCCGCGUGCACGAACAACCCAAAUCAACUUCCUAAAUAGGCUCAAUCAAAUAGCCCAUGUGCCUCCACGUUCCCCGUAUUGAACGACCCAUAUGAAUUCCCUAAGAAAGCGCGAUCAGAC